GAUGAGGAAACCGAGGCUCAGAAAAAUGGAGUGACUUUGCCAAGUCCUCCAGCGAGUGGACCAUCCAGGGCUGGAACUUGGCAUCAGAAACCCCGGCAGCCAUUCACUUUUAUUUAUCCAUUUCUUGGGCAGAUUCGCUCGGUGCUUUGACAGGAGGUCAUGAGUGAGGGUCAAGCUGAGGGUCAGGGCUGUGGGUUUUCCAAAAGAGCUUCCACCAAGCAAAUGCGCCGUGUUCAGAGGAUGCUGGGCUGCUGUUCCUCGACAGCUGGACGAGCAGGCAUCUGCUCAUUGCCUUUUCUGUGGACAGAUGUGGUCCACUGUGUCCACACUGCUGUCUCAUUGAAGACCUCUGUGGCCAGUGCAGGUGGCUAUUCUGAUUUUAACCAAGCCUUGGUCUGCAGAGCAGUUGGGUUUAGUGGGACUUGGUAACUGGCCCAGUGGCUGUUGGUCUUCAUGUGUGGCCUCCGUGAGCAGCCUCACAGGGUGUGGUUGGCACGUCUCCCCAUGGCAUGCCUCCCCCGGAAGCUCAGGGCUGGUCACCCGAGGAGCUGCCAUCUUGUCCCUCGUCCUGGUUGCUGCCAGAUGUUGACCAGAGUGUCAUUCUCCUCUUUCCUGGUCCUCUCCAACCUAAGGAUUGGCCCUGGGUCAUGUGUGGCUUUCCAAGAGCCCUCCUGUUUUGCUGGGUCCCCUCCCCAUCCUGUCCUGGCUAGCUGGUCACUGGAGUUUCCCUCCGUCAGCUGGAACAAGUGUCCGGCUUCAGAACACAAACCCCUUCCAUCUGUCCUCCUGCUUAACAGGACGCUCAGCUCCAGGUGUCCGCCUGUGUGUGUGUGUAUGUGUGUGUGUGUGUGUGUGUGUAGGGGGAGAAAGCGAAAUCUGGGGAUCUAUGUAUGUAGUGCACCAGGCUGUUGGGUUGUUCAGGAGUGGGGAGCAGGUGCCCCCCGUUUUCUCAGCUGUCAGGGUGAUCUGUGGCAUUUGAGAGGUCUCCCCUGUCCUCACCUCUGCACAGUGACGUGCACACUCAUUACACAAGGACG
rnacentral:lncRNA from 1 species